rnacentral:rRNA from 1 species
AGUCAACAUGCCCAGAGGACGUGGAUAACCUCGGGAAACUGAGUCUAAACCGCGAUAAGUGAGGAUUUCUGGAAUGGUUCCUGACUAAAAUCUAUAUGGCCUCUGGAUUGGACUGCGGCCGAUCAGGCUGUUGGUGAGGUAAUGGCCCACCAAACCUGUAACCGGUACGGGCUCUGAGAGGAGGAGCCCGGAGAUGGGCACUGAGACAAGGGCCCAGGCCCUAUGGGGCGCAGCAGGCGCGAAACCUCUGCAAUAGGCGAGAGCCUGACAGGGUUACUCUGAGUGACUUUCGCUAAGAAAGUCUUUUGGCACCUUUAAAAAGGGUGCAGAAUAAGGGGUGGGCAAGUCUGGUGUCAGCCGCCGCGGUAAUACCAGCACCCCGAGUGGUCGGGACGAUUAUUGGGCCUAAAGCAUCCGUAGCCGGUUCUGCAAGUCCCCCGUUAAAUCCAGCUGCUCAACAGAUGGGCCGCGGAGGAUACUACAGAGCUAGGAGGCAGGAGAGGCAAGCGGUACUCAGUGGGUAGGGGUAAAAUCCGUUGAUCCAUUGAAGACCACCAGUGGCGAAGGCGGCUUGCCAGAAUGCGCUCGACGGUGAGGGAUGAAAGCUGGGGGAGCAAACCGGAUUAGAUACCCGGGUAGUCCCAGCCGUAAACGAUGCAGGCUCGGUGAUGGGUUGGCUUCGCGCUAACCCAGUGCCGCAGGGAAGCCGUUAAGUCUGCCGCCUGGGUAGUACGGUCGCAAGACUGAAACUUAA